rnacentral:rRNA from 1 species
CAGCCGCCGCGGGAAAACGUAGGGUGCAAGCGUUAAUCGGAAUUACUGGGCGUAAAGCGCACGUAGGCGGAUAUUUAAGUCAGGGGUGAAAUCCCGCAGCUCAACUGCGGAACUGCCUUUGAUACUGGGUAUCUUGAGUAUGGAAGAGGUUAGUGGAAUUGCGAGUGUAGAGGUGAAAUUCGUAGAUAUUCGCAGGAACACCAGUGGCGAAGGCGGCUAACUGGUCCAUAACUGACGCUGAGGUGCGAAAGCGUGGGGAGCAAACAGGAUUAGAUACCCCGGUAGUCCCUGUCUCUUAUAC